rnacentral:rRNA from 1 species
CCUGCCCAGUGAAAUAAAUUUUUAACGGCCGCAGUACCCUGACUGUGCAAAGGUAGCAUAAUAAUUUGCUCUAUAAUUGAGGGCUAGAAUGAAUGGUUUGACAAGAGUAAUUCUGUCUCUUUAUAAUUUUAUAAAAUUUAAUUUUUAGAUGAAGAAGUCUAAAUAAUAUUAAAAGACAAGAAGACCCUAUCGAGCUUGAAAUAAGUUAAUAAAUUUAAAAUAAUUAAUAAAAAAUAUUUUGUUAAAAAUUUUAGUUGGGGCAACUAAGGAACAAAUAAAACUUCCUUUAUAAUUAAAUUAAUAUUAUAAAUUAUGAUCCAAAAGUUUUGAUUAAAAAAAUUAGUUACCGUAGGGAUAACAGCAUAAUUUUUUUUAAGAGUUCUUAUCGAAAAAAAAGUUUGUGACCUCGAUGUUGGACCAGAAUAUCCUAAAGAUGCAGAAGUCUUUAAGGGUUGGUCUGUUCGACCAUUAAAAUUCUACGUGAUCUGA